UACGGGGGGAGCAAGCGUUGUUCGGAUUUACUGGGCGUAAAGGGCGCGUAGGCGGCCACCGCAAGUCGGUUGUGAAAUCUCUGGGCUUAACCCAGAAAGGUCAACCGAUACUGCGGGGCUAGAGUGCAGAAGGGGCAACUGGAAUUCUCGGUGUAGCGGUGAAAUGCGUAGAUAUCGGGAAGAACACCCGUGGCGAAGGCGGUUCUCUGGGACGGUACUGACGCUGAGGCGCGAAAGCUAGGGGAGCAAACGGG
rnacentral:rRNA from 1 species